GUCCACGCCGUAAACGAUGAGUGCUAGGUGUCGGGGGUUCACACCCUCGGUGCCGGAGUUAACGCAUUAAGCACUCCGCCUGGGGAGUACGGUCGCAAGACUGAAGCUCAAAGGAAUUGACGGGGACCCGCACAAGCAGCGGAGCAUGUGGUUUAAUUCGAAGCAACGCGAAGAACCUUACCAGGACUUGACAUCCCUGUGACCGGUACGUAAUAGUACCUUUCCCUUCGGGGACAGAGGAGACAGGUGGUGCAUGGUUGUCGUCAGCUCGUGUCGUGAGAUGUUGGGUUAAGUCCCGCAACGAGCGCAACCCUUGUCUUUAGUUGCCAGCACAUAGUGGUGGGCACUCUAGAGAGACUGCCGGUGACAAACCGGAGGAAGGUGGGGACGACGUCAAAUCAUCAUGCCCCUUAUGUUCUGGGCUACACACGUGCUACAAUGGCUGGUACAACGGGAAGCGAAGGAGUAAUCUGGAGCGAAUCCCAAAAAGCCAGUCCCAGUUCGGAUUGUGGGCUGCAACUCGCCCACAUGAAGUUGGAGUUGCUAGUAAUCGCGGAUCAGAAUGUCGCGGUGAAUGCGUUCCCGGGUCUUGUACACACCGCCCGUCACACCAUGGGAGCCUGGGGCACCCGAAGUCAGCUAUCUAACUUUUUAAGAGGAGGCUGCCGAAGGUGAAUUAGGUGACUGGGGUGAAGUCGUAACAAGGUAGCCGUA
rnacentral:rRNA from 1 species